AUAAGAACCAUUAUACCCACCUUUGAUCGGAUCAUACCCUGAAAUUAGGCGCAGCAAUGGCAGACUCGCUCAUUGAAUUGAAUGAACUUCUCAUCUCCAGAAAGGUUAAUUUGACAACUGAAGAAAGUAAACUACUAAAUUCAUGGAAGCAAUCUGCUGUAAGAGAUUUUGGCAUUGGUGCAAUUGGUGCUUCCCUUGCCACUUGGUUAGUUACUCGAAGGCUGCAUAACCUAUUCCGCAUCAACCUUGCAGUUGGUGCUGGUUGGUUCUAUGGCAAGUGGAGAUUUGCCAAGUCUUUGGAUUCAGGUGUUGAACUUAUUCUCUCUCAGCAUGGAACUCGUCUGCAAAAGGAGUUGGGGGAAAUAAUGUUGAAGAAGUACCAGCAUAAUCCGCCUGUACUGCAGUUCGUCUCCAAAUACUUUUACUCUGAAAAUGUUUAUGAUGAUGAUUCAACAGACAAGCCAAAACCGAGGUGGCGUUUUCGAAGUACCUAUGGGGAAAUUUUUUUCUUCUCACGAGGUAGAAGGUGAUGACUCUUCCAGUAAGAAAUCCCAUUCAGAGAAUACUAAUCUGAGGAAAACUAAUCUUGAGAGAAAGCAAAUUAAUAUGAAUGGUGUUGGUGCUGCUGUUGCUCUAGAGUCAACCGAAGACCCAUUUGAUUGCAUACUCGGACAUCAAGGGAACACCGAAGAGAUUCACCACCUUGAUGCCUCUAGCCCGCUGCCUAAAAGGCGGAGUCAUAGCACCAGACGGUCUCAUAGCAGGCGUCGGAUGCAUCGCCACGAGAACAUGGAAGGUUGAGCUUCUAAUUGACCUACCAUGAUCAAUGCAAGAUUGAACUGAUCUGUCCUUUGGAGAUCAGUCUUGCAUAGCCCUGUUAAAUGUUAUCUGCUGCAAAAUCUAUGCUUUGAAACUGGCAUUACCUAAGAGCUGGUUGUAUAUAGUUAUGGGCUUAUGGCUCAGUGGCUUUUGUGAUCAUUAACUUAUUUAAUAGAAAUUGUUUAUGGAUUAAUUUAAUGGGUAGCCAGCAUAAAUUAUAAUAUAGGAUGCAAUGCAAUGUUCACAUAAUUUAGUUGUCAAUUCGAAGCAUUUUAUAU